GACGAACGCUGACGGCGUGCCUAAUACAUGCAAGUAGAACGCUGAAGGAGGAGCUUGCUUCUCUGGAUGAGUUGCGAACGGGUGAGUAACGCGUAGGUAACCUGCCUGGUAGCGGGGGAUAACUAUUGGAAACGAUAGCUAAUACCGCAUAAGAGUAGAUGUCGCAUGACAUUUGCUUAAAAGGUGCAAUUGCAUCACUACCAGAUGGACCUGCGUUGUAUUAGCUAGUUGGUGAGGUAACGGCUCACCAAGGCAACGAUACAUAGCCGACCUGAGAGGGUGAUCGGCCACACUGGGACUGAGACACGGCCCAGACUCCUACGGGAGGCAGCAGUAGGGAAUCUUCGGCAAUGGACGGAAGUCUGACCGAGCAACGCCGCGUGAGUGAAGAAGGUUUUCGGAUUGUAAAGCUCUGUUGUAAGAGAAGAACGAGUGUGAGAGUGGAAAGUUCACACUGUGACGGUAGCUUACCAGAAAGGGACGGCUAACUACGUG
rnacentral:rRNA from 1 species